CGUCGAAGGUGGGGCUGAUGACUGGGGUGAAGUCGUAACAAGGUAGCCGUACCGGAAGGUGCGGCUGGAUCACCUCCUAACAGGGAGACAAAACAAUGAUUUUGAUGCCUGAGUGCUUUUAUUCUUAGGCCGAAAUCCUGUCACCUUAGGUCGAUCGGUACCUCAGCUUUGAAAUCAAGGGUUAGCAGCAAUGUUGAUGGCUUGAUGGAAAUUUUCAGUUCCUAAACUUUGUCUAGGUCACACCCCACAAGGGUUGAGUCUCCUGGGCCAUUAGCUCAGGUGGUUAGAGCGCACCCCUGAUAAGGGUGAGGUCCCUGGUUCAAGUCCAGGAUGGCCCAUUCGGUGUUGGGGGUUUAGCUCAGUUGGUAGAGCGCCUGCUUUGCAAGCAGGAUGUCAGGAGUUCGAGUCUCCUAACCUCCACUGACCGAACUCAAUCUCCAUCGUCCGGUUUUGGAGGAUGAACUUGAGUGUUUUGGUGUGAUUUAGAUGUGUCCGCUGGAGAACCCAGCUUCCUGUCAUUCUAAAGACAAUAUUUUUUGUUUUUGGUUGAUAAGAUGCUGGGCUCGAAUUGAGUAAUCAGUUCAGAGUUCUAGCAGAACCUUGACAACUGCAUAGGUGAGUCUGGAAAAACAAAGCAUCUUACAGAUGCAUUGUUUUGUAUCUGAUCUUUUGAAAGAGAGAUUGGAUCCAGAGCAAUGAAUAAUUCUUUUGAGCAAGAGCCGAGACUCUUGAGCGUUCUUAAGCUCGUGUCGAGCGAUCUUGAGUUUGAUUUUGUCUUAUAUUUCAACGAAAGUUGAAGGGUAAGGCUUAAGAAUCUGCUUUCAACAGCGGUAAGCGUUCAGGAGAUUAAUUGGUCAAGCUACAAAGGGCUC
rnacentral:misc_RNA from 1 species